rnacentral:rRNA from 1 species
CAGUUCAGACUGCAGGCUGCAACUCGCCUGCACGAAGUCGGAAUUGCUAGUAAUCGUAGGUCAGCAUACUACGGUGAAUACGUUCCCGGGCCUUGUACACACCGCCCGUCAAACCAUGAGAGUUGCAACACCCGAAGUCGGUAGUCUAACCGCAAGGAGGACGCCGCCGAAGGUGGGGUUGAUGAUUAGGGUUAAGUCGUAACAAGGUACC